UACGUAGGGUGCGAGCGUUGUCCGGAAUUAUUGGGCGUAAAGGGCUCGUAGGCGGUCUGUCGCGUCGGGAGUGAAAACUCAGGGCUCAACCCUGAGCGUGCUUCCGAUACGGGCAGACUAGAGGUAUGCAGGGGAGAACGGAAUUCCUGGUGUAGCGGUGGAAUGCGCAGAUAUCAGGGAGGAACGAGCCGGUGGCGAAGG
rnacentral:rRNA from 1 species